rnacentral:lncRNA from 1 species
AGCUUGGGAUAGCUAGUGUCGGAGUUUCCGACGUUUUGUAUUCAGGUUGAAUACAAGUAUAGUGGAUUGAAAUUUUCAAGUAGGAGCUUGGGGAGUGGAUGUAGGUGCAAGGUUGGCACCGAACCACUAUAAAUCCUUGUGUUUGUGGUGUGCUUUAUUGUUUCUCUUUAUUUCUUUAUUAUAUCCUUGCAUUCUUGCUUUAGGAAAUUAAUCUUGAUUUAAAGUCUU